rnacentral:rRNA from 1 species
CUAGACAGUAACUGACGCUGAGGCACGAAAGCGUGGGGAGCAAAUAGGAUUAGAUACCCUAGUAGUCCACGCUGUAAACGAUGAAUGCUAAGUAUCGGGGCGACCCGGUGCUGCAGCCAACGCAAUAAGCAUUCCGCCUGUGGAGUAUGCACGCAAGUGUGAAACAUAAAGGAAUUGACGGGGGCCCGCACAAGCGGUGGAGUAUGUGGUUUAAUUCGACGCAACGCGAAGAACCUUACCAGGCCUUGACAUCCCUUGCAGAGGUGUAGAGAUACAUCCGAGGUUAUCAAGGAGACAGGUGGUGCAUGGUUGUCGUCAGCUCGUGUCGUGAGAUGUUGGGUUAAGUCCCGCAACGAGCGCAACCCUUGUCUUCAGUUACCAUCAUUAAGUUGGGGACUCUGAAGAGACUGCUGGUGAUAAACCGGAGGAAGGUGGGGAUGACGUCAAAUCAUCAUGCCCCUUAUGGCCUGGGCUACACACGUACUACAAUGGCGUAUACAACGAGGAGCGACACUGCGAAGUGAAGCAAAUCUCUUAAAGUACGUCUCAGUUCGGAUUGAAGUCUGCAACCCGACUUCAUGAAGCUGGAAUCGCUAGUAAUCGCGGAUCAGCAUGCCGCGGUGAAUACGUUCUCGGGCCUUGUACACACCGCCCGUCAUACCAUGAGAGUUGGCAAUACCCGAAGCCGGUGGCCUAACCGCAAGGAAGGAGCCGUCGAAGGUAGGGCUGAUGAUUGGGGUCAAGUCGUAACAAGGUAACC